CCUACGGGAGGCAGCAGUAGGGAAUCUUUCACAAUGGGCGAAAGCCUGAUGGAGCAACGCCGCGUGCAGGAUGAAGGCCUUCGGGUUGUAAACUGCUUUUAUAAGCGAGAAAUAUGAUGGUAACUUAUGAAUAAGGAUCGGCUAACUACGUGCCAGCAGCCGCGGUCAUACGUAGGAUCCGAGCAUUAUCCGGAGUGACUGGGUGUAAAGAGUUGCGUAGGUGGCAUAAUAAGUAGCUAGUGAAAUCUGGUGGCUCAACCAUUCAGACGAUCAGCAAAACUGUUAAGCUCGAGACCGUUAGGGGUAAGUGGAAUGUCCAGUGUAGGAGUGAAAUGCGUAGAUAUUAGGAGGAACACCGAUAGCGUAGGCAGGUUACUGGGACGGUUCUGACGCUAAGGCACGAAAGCGUAGGGAGCAAACGGGAUUAGAUACCCUUGUAGUC
rnacentral:rRNA from 1 species